GACGAACGCUGGCGGCGUGCCUAACACAUGCAAGUCGAACGAAGCUUGACGAACGAUUCUUCGGAUGAAUUCUGAUAUGACUGAGUGGCGGACGGGUGAGUAACGCGUGAGCAACCUGCCUACUAGAGGGGAAUAACAGUGAGAAAUCAUUGCUAAUACCGCAUAUGCCAUGAACAUCACAUGAUGAAAAUGGGAAAAGAGCAAUCUACUAGUAGAUGGGCUCGCGUCUGAUUAGAUAGUUGGUGAGGUAACGGCCCACCAAGCCGACGAUCAGUAGCCGACCUGAGAGGGUNACCGGCCACAUUGGGACUGAGACACGGCCCAAACUCCUACGGGAGGCAGCAGUGGGGAAUAUUGCACAAUGGGCGAAAGCCUGAUGCAGCGACGCCGCGUGAGUGAAGAAGUAUUUCGGUAUGUAAAGCUCUAUCAGCAGGGAAGAAAAUGACGGUACCUGACUAAGAAGCCCGG
rnacentral:rRNA from 1 species